rnacentral:misc_RNA from 1 species
CAGAGUUCAGCGGGUGCCCGUGACAGAGAAAGGUGGACGUGUUCACACCAGUGCUGUCUCUGUUGCAAUUCUCCCGCAGGCAGAUCAGCUGGAUUUGAAGUUAAGGAAUGAAGAUUUGAAAAUGGACACUUACAGAUCAGGGGGAUCAGGAGGUCAGCAUGCAAACACCACAAACAGUGCUGUUAGAAUCACUCACGUGCCAUCAGGAAUAACUGUUUCCAUACAAGAUCAACGCUCCCAG